rnacentral:rRNA from 1 species
UACGUAGGGCGCAAGCGUUGUCCGGAAUUAUUGGGCGUAAAGAGCGCGUAGGCGGUCCGAUAAGUCGGCUGUGAAAGUCAAGGGCUCAACCCUUGAAAGCCGGCCGAUACUGUCGGACUAGAGUCCGGAAGAGGCGAGUGGAAUUCCCGGUGUAGCGGUGAAAUGCGCAGAUAUCGGGAGGAACACCAAUAGCGAAGGCAGCUCGCUGGGACGGUACUGACGCUAAGGCGCGAAAGCGUGGGGAGCGAACAGG